rnacentral:rRNA from 1 species
AUGAAGACCCCUGCCGUUGUCCUCACCGGUGCAUCCAUUCCAUCUAAUAAUUGGGAGCCUAAUGCAGGGGUCAUUCUUUCAUGCGACAACUAUCAUGUACCUGGUCAAGAGGCAGAGCAAUGUGAGGAUAAUUUCAAAAGAGCAUACGCUCAUCUAUCAGAGACUGGUCCAACUGAGAUAAGAAGCAAAUCAUCUGGAGCCAAAACACCUGAUGGCAGAUCAAUCAGCUUCAGAACAGACAGGCUACUCCGACAGAGUUCAUUGACUCUCAAGAAAUGGAUGAAGAAGGACAAGUUUUUUAUGGAAUAG